AUUGAACGCUGGCGGCAUGCUUUACACAUGCAAGUCGAACGGUAACAGGGUGCUUGCACCGCUGACGAGUGGUGAACGGGUGAGUAAUGCGUCGGAACGUGCCGAGUAGUGGGGGAUAACGCAGCGAAAGUUGUGCUAAUACCGCAUACGUACUGAGGUAGAAAGUGGGGGACCUUCGGGCCUCGCGCUAUUCGAGCGGCCGACGUCUGAUUAGCUAGUAGGUGAGGUAAAGGCUCACCUAGGCGACGAUCAGUAGCGGGUCUGAGAGGAUGGUCCGCCACACUGGGACUGAGACACGGCCCAGACUCCUACGGGAGGCAGCAGUGGGGAAUUUUGGACAAUGGGCGAAAGCCUGAUCCAGCCAUGCCGCGUGUCUGAAGAAGGCCUUCGGGUUGUAAAGGACUUUUGUCGGGGAGGAAAUCCCCAGCGUUAAUACCGCUGGGGGAUGACAGUACCUGAAGAAUAAGCACCGGCUAACUACGUGCCAGCCGCCGCGGUAAUAC
rnacentral:rRNA from 1 species